rnacentral:rRNA from 1 species
GACAAACGCUGGCGGCAUGCCUAACACAUGCAAGUCGAACGGACAGAACAGGGAAGCUUUUCGGAGUGGAACUGGAAAGUUAGUGGCGGAUGGGUGAGUAACGCGUGGACAACCUACCUUGUAAAGGGGAAUAACCUCGAGAAAUCGAAGCUAAUACCCCAUAAUAACCUUGCUUCGCAUGAAGUAAGGAGGAAAGGCGGCCUUAGCGCUGUCGAUACAAGAUGGGUCCGCGUCUGAUUAGCUAGUUGGUGAGGUAAAGGCUCACCAAGGCGACGAUCAGUAGCCGGCCGUGGAGGGUGAACGGCCACAUUGGGACUGAGACACGGCCCAAACUCCUACGGGAGGCAGCAGUGGGGAAUCUUCCGCAAUGGGCGAAAGCCUGACGGAGCAAUGCCGCGUGAGUGAAGAAGGCCUUCGGGUUGUAAAACUCUGUCCUUAUCGAAGAGAGAGUGUUGUAGUAACUGACAAUACUAGGACGGUAGAUGAGGAGGAAGCCCCGGCUAACUAUGU